rnacentral:misc_RNA from 1 species
UGAGGUACUUGGAGUGCUGUCCAUUUGUAGUUUGGAAUCAUUGUAUUCUUGUUAUAUCUGAUGAUGGAAACCCCCUUAAAAUUGUGAAUCAGAAACGCUGGAAGAUUUUGGUGAAAUUUAUUCUUUUGUGUUCUAACUAUUAAAAGAACCAAGUUUUGGUGGGAAGAAGUAAGAUGGAAUAUUUUCGGCCAAGCUUUCCUUG